CAUUAGUCUAGUCCAAAGCCCACUCGUAAAGGCCCGGUGCGUCUCUGGCUUCAUCUUCCUCCUUGUUUCCUCAUCUUUUGAUUUGAGUCAUCGCACGGUUGAAAUAACGAAGCUAUUUGUACUAAAGGGUCGCUGCUUGUUCCACUUGCGCAAUUCCUCCUCUCACUUUCAAACCCCAGGUACUGCUCAGAGGGAAUACUCUUCGUACCAUGAUUCCAUACUACAGCCUUAAACAUGCAGAAGGCGUCUUUCUAUAAGAUGCUCGAUUAAAACAUCUUCUGAACAUUUUGGUCACUCAGACAAUCUUGCAACCAACCUAAAUAGUUGACAGCCUAAGAGACACCUCUACUGAAAAAUUCAAGAAAUUCGCAUGGAAGAAAACAAGGUCCAUUGCCUCGGAGCGAUUGCUCAUUCUUGGGGUAGAGGCUCUGAAAUGAUCCCUCGUUUUGCUGUUUGGGAUCAGUUUUUUAUCUGACAUAUUCAUGGCGAUCUCAAAGAAUAUAGAUUAUUCCGGUUGGUUUUUUCCUUGGCGUGAGUCGCGCAAAUCUUUUGAAGGAAUCGUACCAAGAGCUCUUUCAAAGCAGAGUUAAGGAUGAAGGAUUUCCUGGGCAUCUUUUAGGCGUAGGAUCAUGUUUUGUGUAUGUCAAGUUGGGUGUCUUUGUCCUUCAAUGUGCAAGGAGGAUAGCUUUAUCGCAUAUAGGAAAUGGUGUUGAUUUAAGUUUUGUGGUUGGCACGAGAACUCUAGCAGACGAAUGGUGUUGAGAUGCAGGAAGAAUAAUGAGUAGAGCUCUGUAAGUGUUGUUAGAUAAUCCAAUGGAAUUUUUAGGAUAUUUAUGGUUUUUGUAGGGUUCUGUUUUUGUAAAAGUAUUUAUGAUACAUAAUCUUGGUAUAAGUUAAUCUUAUUCUUUGUGAUUACUGAGUAA